rnacentral:rRNA from 1 species
AAAGAGAGCCGUAACACAGGUGCUGCAUGGCUGUCGUCAGCUCGUGUCGUGAGAUGUUGGGUUAAGUCCCGCAACGAGCGCAACCCUUGUCAUUAGUUGCUACAUUCAGUUGGGCACUCGUAAAUGAGACUGCCGGUGACAAGCCGGAGGAAGGUGGGGAUGACGUCAAGUCCUCAUGGCCCUUAUAGGUGGGGCUACACACGUCAUACAAUGGCUGGUACAAAGGGUUGCCAACCCGCCGAGGGGGGAGCCAAUCCCAUAAAGCCAGUCGUAGUCCGGAUCGUAGUCUGCAACUCGACUACGUGAAGUCGGAAUCGCUAGUAAUCGUGGAUCAGAAUGUCACGGUGAAUACGUUCCCGGGUCUU